rnacentral:rRNA from 1 species
CCUACGGGUGGCAGCAGUGAGGAAUAUUGGUCAAUGGGCGCGAGCCUGAACCAGCCAAGUCGCGUGAGGGAGGACGGCCCUACGGGUUGUAAACCUCUUUUGCCGGGGAGCAACGGGCGCCACGUGUGGCGCCACUGAGAGUACCCGGAGAAAAAGCAUCGGCUAACUCCGUGCCAGCAGCCGCGGUAAUACGUAGGUGGCAAGCGUUAUCCGGAUUUACUGGGUGUAAAGGGCGUGUAGGCGGGACUGCAAGUCAGAUGUGAAAACCAUGGGCUCAACCCAUGGCCUGCAUUUGAAACUGUAGUUCUUGAGUGAUGGAGAGGCAGGCGGAAUUCCGGGUGUAGCGGUGAAAUGCGUAGAUAUACGGAGGAACACCAGUGGCGAAGGCGGCCUGCUGGACAUUAACUGACGCUGAGGCGCGAAAGCGUGGGGAGCAAACAGGAUUAGAUACCCGAGUAGUC